GUGAGUCAGUGUUUGGCCGGGCCAGGCCCUAGCCGCUUCCCAUCAGGGCGGGCGGGGCUGCGGCUCCCUCCGGCCAGGGGUGAGGGCCUGAGUCAGCGAGUCAGGUAACUGGAGGAGCAUGCGGGGCUUUCCCACCUGCACCCCAGGGCCGCUGAGCAGGCUGGGCCGCCUCCCACAGUGGAGAAGCCUCUGCACCCGGGACAGCUCAGGCGCUGCCUGCCUCCACGGCCAACCCCGGGCCCCCAGUCCCGAGAGACACGGAGAGCCUCUCCUCUGCCUGAAACACAUCGGGGGCCCAGAACCCUAGCCAAGGGCCUUUCCUGGGGGAAGACAAGAGCUGUGAAUCCAACGAGACCUGGGAAGCCAGGGAAAGCCUUCCUGAACAGGGCACACUUGAACCAAGGCCCGAAGGAGAAAGAGAAAGUAAGUUAUUCAUUCCUACCGGUGGGAAGUAACCAGAAUGUUGCUCACAGCGAUGGUGUUAAUUCCAGCUGGACUCCGAGGCCUGCUCAGGGCUCCGGACCGAGGCCCGCUCCGCCUUGUAACAGGAGGUGAGCAAGUUCUGGGGGAUGUCAAGGCCUGCCAGCACCCAAGUGGGGCUUUUCCCAGGUGCUCAGAACAAUCAAAGAACCACAGGUGACAUCCUCCCGGGUGUCACCUGUUAGCCAACUCAUCUUGUGUUGGAGAUUUCCUGGGUGGACAUGGGGUCGGUGUGGUCCUUGAGGGUUAGUCUCCCUAGAGCCUUUGCAGGUGUGUCAGCGGGAAGGGCCCAAAAGACGGGGAGCCUGUCGGGCAGCCACUGCCCCAGCCCAGACAGAAUCCAGAGAAUUCCACAUUAACUGACGCCUCCCCUUUUCAAGUCCGUUCACCUCCGUUGGGCAGGACAGGUGACGUCUGGGUCAGUGCUGGGCUCUCUCUCCUAUUCCCUUGAUGUGUUUGCCCACUUCUGUGCCAACACCAUGCAGUUUUAUUUUCUGUACCUCUGCCACACAUUCUAAUGUCUAGACAAGUCCUCCCUCUUGACUCUUCCUGUUCAGAAUUGUCUUGGCUAUUUUCUUCGCACAUUUCCUCUUUCAUGAGACUGCUAACAGACAGGCCUCGAGAUGCUAAUGACAGACCCCGAGCCACAAAGGGCUUCAAGCUUCAUGGCCCAUUUCCAAGGCUCCCAGGAACCCGGGGCAGUGUGGCUGGGUGUGGGGAAGGCAAGCUGGGAGGAACGGGGGGCCUUUCCACCACCCCCAACACACCAGUCCUGGUGGGUCACAAAGGAGCCCUGUCUGCCUGUUAAGGGCUUUGAACACCCUUAAAAAUAGCAGCAUUUGCCACUUCAUGUUUCCCCCGUACACUGUGUACACGCUCUCUUUCUCUAAGUCAACUUGAGUUGUAAAGUUUUAUUUAAACUUAUAGAAAACAUUUUCUUCUUGCUUUAAAUGAGAAACCAGUAUGAAAGGUGAGGCGUUUGCUGUCAGUGCCUCACCCUUCUCCCCUCCCGCUCACUUUUCAUGAACACAGACCAGAUUCCAGCCGCCUGUCAGCACCUGCCCUCCUAUCAUUAUUAUUAAUUAUUAUCAUCAUUAUUAUUUUCUUGAGGUCACGUUGGUCGAUAACAUUGUGCACAUUCCAGAUGUACAUCAUUGUAUUUCAGCUUCUGUGUAGACAGCAUGGUGUUCACCACCAAUAGCCUAGUUUUAAUCCAUCACCAUACAUAUGUGCCCCUUCACCCCUUUUGCCUUCCCCCCACCCCAUUCCCCUCUGGUAACCACCAAUCUCUUCUCCUUGUCCACGUGUGUAUCUUCCACACAUGAGUGAGAGCAUACGGUGUUUGUCUUUCUCUGUCUUAUUUCACUCAGCAUAAUACCCUCAAGGUCCAGCCAUGUUGUCACAAAUGGCAUGACUUCGUCCUUUCUUAUGGCUGAGGAGUAUAUAUACAUACACACCAUGUCUUCUUCAUCCAUUCAUCUGUUGAUGGGCACUUGGGUUGCUUCCAAGUCUUGGCUAUUGUGAUAAUGCUGCAAUGAACACAGGGUGGAUAGAGCUUUUCAAUUACUGAUUUCAUGUUCUUUGGAUAAAUACUCAAAAGUGGAAUAGUGGAUCAUAUGGUAUUUCUAUUUUUAAUUUUUUGAGAAAGUGGAGACUAAAUAACAUGCUACUGAACAACUAUUGGAUCAAUAAAUAAAUCAAAGGAGAAAUAAAAAAAAUACCUGGAGACAAAUGAAAAUGAAAACACAACAUAUCAAAACUUAUGGGAUGCAGCAAAAGCAGUACUAAGAGGGAUGUUUAUAGUAAUACGGGCCUACCUCAAAAACAAGAAAAAUCUCAAAUAAACAAUCUAACACUUUACCUAAAAGAGCUAGAAAAAGAAGAACAAACAGAGCCCAAAGUCAGUAGAAGGAAGGAAAUAAUUAAAAUAAGAACUGAAAUAAAAUAGAGACAAAAAACAAUAGAAAGGAUCAGUGAAACUAAGAGCUGGUUCUUUGAAAAGAUAAACAAAAUUGACAAGCCCUUAGCUAGACUCUCUAAGAAAAAAAGAGGGAGGGGACGGCUCAAACAAACGAAAUCAGAAAUGAGAGAGGAGACAUCACAACAGACACCACAGAAAUGCAAAGGAUCCUAAGAGAAGACUACGCAAACCCGUAUGUCAACAAAUUGGAUAAUCUAGAGAAAUGGAUAAAUUCUUAGACGCGUACAACCUCCCAAAUCUGAAUCAAGAAGAAACAGAGACUCUGAAUAGACCAAUCACAAGUACAGAUUGAAACUAAUCAGAAACCCCCCUAGAAACAGAAGUCCAGGACCAGGCGGCUUCUCUCAGCCCCCAGGCCCCGGCCCUGGGUGGCAGCUGGAAGUGCUGGGAAGCAUCACUCCAGGGAGCCGCCCUCAAUCAAAGCCGGCAGGAGAGCAUGGACACCUCCCGCUGCUCCCCGGCCACCCCCGCCCCACCCGGGGGGUGACUCAGAAGGCACGGUCUACACUAUCUCCCAGAGUCCCACAGCGGACUGAGUCCCACAGCCCGGAGCGCUUACUUCUCCAUAACGCUCUGCGCUGGCUGCGCUCACUUCCCCACUCCCCUACCAGUGUUUUCUGGGGUCGCCUCCCAAAUGAACCGCUUGCUUUCAAAUUGUUCUCUUAGGGUUCUGCUUCCAGGGAAACCCAACCCAAGGCGCUCACUGGAAAUUGGAGACAUUCAGCCAAUUACACAAAGGGGCAAAACAAAACCAGAAACCGCUACCGCUGGGGGCUUGGCGCUGGGGCUGCUGUUUCCUAAAAAGAAAGAACAGGGGGAGGAAAGUGGUGAAGACACACAAGCCCCGGUCAGCCUUUCCUUCCCUGUGGCACCAUCAGGAGGAUGGGAAGGGAGCUGAAAUGACUCUUGCACACUGUGAGUUGAUGGGGUCUCAGUCGGGGUCCCCAUACCCCACACAGCCGCCGCCAGCCCCAACCACGGCCCACCAUUCAUGAACAAUUUGUCGCAGGCUGGCUCCGAGGAUGGAGGACCUCUCGGCCCAGGUUGGGCAGCUGGCAGGACACAAGGCUGGUGGGCUUGGCAGGCAGUGCUCAGCACUGGGCUGGGCACAGGGGCCAGAGGGGGCCAGGAAGAGGACCUGUGGUCCCACCGUUCAGGCAAUGAGCCUGACACAUGGGCUGACGGCCUAACUCUGCUUUGAGUGCGUCUUGAGAAGGGAGAGCUCAUGGCCUCCCUCAUUCAUUCAUUCAUUCAACAAAUGUUUAUUGAGGACCUACUGUGUGCUGGGCGAGGCACUGGGGAGACCAAGAGGACAGACCAGAAUCCCUCAUGGUGCUGACACUCAAAUGGGGGACACAGACAAGAAACAAGUGAACACAGAAAUAAACUGGAAUGAGAGUCUUUGGGGCUACAAAGAAGAUAAACGGAAUGAUGGGAUAAAAAGUAGAAGGAGUGUUUGACAGUAUUGGCCUGGGGGGGGCCUCUGUGGAGGGGUCGUUUAAGCUCAGAAUGGAAUGUGGAGAAGAAUCCAGCCAUGCAAAAAGCUAGAGACAGAGGGUUCCAGAUAGCAGGGACAGCAUAUGCAAAGGCCGGGGGUGGGAGUGAGCUCAGAGUGUUGGAGGAACAGGAGCAGGCUGGUGUGCUGGAGGAGGGGUGGUGGGAGGCUGGGGUGACACGGUCCCCCGGGCCGGGCCAGAGUGAAGGGAUGCCUGGGAUGCGUUCGUGGGAUCGAUGAGUCACUCGGGAAGGCGUCCUCGGGCACUGGAUGGAGAGCUCGGAGGGCACUGGAUGGAGAGCUCGGAGGGGAGCUGAAGGUGGUGGAUCCGGGAGGCGUCUUCUCUUGGUGUCUUUGUCAGUGGAAGGGGAGGCCCAGGAGAAUGACCUUGCUCUGCAUGGGGCCAGACUGCAGUGGGGAGGGGCUUCGGGUCCCACGACCACGUCUAUGUCGUGAGGCGCUAUUUGCUGAGAACCUGUGCACCAGGCUCUCCGUGACCGGGUCAGAGGCUGCCGGACACAUCCCCUCCCGGGAAGACGCUCGCAGGGAGAGGAAAUUGCAACACAGUGCCGUGAGUUUUCCAGGGAAGGGCCUUUCAAGUUGGCUUCUGAAGGAUGACGAGGAGCUUGCGGUAGGGAAACCAUGACCCAAAGGGCAGAAACCCUUCCUCUUGUUUGUCACUGUGCCCCAGCACCCAGGACGGGGCCCAGCACAGGGCAGGCGCUCGGUUGAUAACCGUUGAGAGAACGAAUGGGAACUGUCCGCACUUUGGUUAUUCAAGCAACGGCCUUCCCGAUUUUUGUGCGGUUUGCAUUCCAGACCUACUGUUACUUAAUGUUUUUCUUCAAGUUGACUUAACUUUCUAUUUAAAUAAAUUUGUUUAGAAGGGAAACAUUUGAUAUUAUCGCUAGAACUGAAAAAAGCAAAGAACACUUGCCGCAAAUCAAAGAUAACCAGAAAAAUCCUCAUGAUGAAAACCAACGAUGUUAUCAGGGUCUCCCCGUUAAGGGGGCAAAAGGACAAGCGGCAGACUGGGAGGAAAUAUUCGCAGAUCACACAUCUGACGAAGGACGGACUCGGAUCCAGAAUACAGAAAGAACCCUCCAGGCCACGAAUAAGAAAACAAUCUGAUUUUUUAAAUGGACAAAAAGUUUGAUCAGACACUACUACACCAAAGAACAUAUACGGAUGGCAAAUAAGCCCGUAAAAAGACGCUCAACAUCAUUAGUCAGCAGGGAAACGCAAAUUAACAUCACGACGUCAUCCCGGUAUACACCUAUGAGAUGGCUAAAAUUUUUUUAAAAUUGACAAUACCAAGUGCUGGCGAGGAUGAGAAGCAACUGAAACUUUCGCCCAUUGCUGGUGGCAAUGCAAAAUGGUACAGACACAGGUUAGCGGUUUCUGAGUAAGUCAAACAUGUACUUGACCGCAUGACAUAGCAGUUUGACCCCUAAGCCUUUCCCCAAGAUAAAGAAAAAUUAUGUUCACGUGACAACCUGUUUGCAAAUGUUCAUAGUGGCUUUAAUUAUAUCACUAAACACUGGAAACAGUCCAAAUAUCCCUCACGUGGUGAACGGGUACGCAGGCUGCGGUACGUCCAUACGCUGGAACGCUGCUCAGUGAUAACAAGGAAUGUUACUGAAAAACGUGCUGAGAACACACAGCGAAAUGAACACAUCUCAAAACCGCGAUGCUGAGUGAAGAAAGGCAAUGCCCUGCAGGACUCCACUUCCAUGACAUUCCGGAAACACAUCAGAUCUAAAGUCCAAAAACAGGUGCCACUGACCCAUGGUGACAGAAGUCAGGCUAGCGUUCAAGGUGCAUCAAGCAGAGCGCGUCUGUGGAGUGUGGCACAGCCCCACACAAAGCUCCCAAGAGUCUUGCUAGACACGACCGUGUGCCGAAGGCAGGGGGCCCGAGACCUGCUCCUUUCCAGAAAGAUCAGCAGGUAUUUGGUGUUAGACACAGGUCAGCGCCACGCGGAGACUGUCCUUGGCGUAAAGGAAGGACUGUGGCAGAUUCGCAAGGGGAAGAACCCACCACGCGCCCGGACGACAGCUGGUGCUCUGUCCCUGCGCCCUGCGAAACCGUGACACGCAGCCCCGGGGGCGCCCAUCGCCCACUGGGAGAGCACUCACGUGUCUGAGACAGCGUGCUGGCGGGCACGGCAGGGACACGGGCGCGGCACUGGGAGGGCGCAGCUCCCAAAGCAGAGGAGCCCACAUUUAGCUGGUGCAGUUCAGAGGAGGGCACUCACUUUUGCCGUUUGCGUCUCUGCGUCCCUCGGCACUACCUAGUCACCCCUCCAAGCUUUCGCAUUGGUCGCUCCUUCUGCUGGAGUUACUCCCUUCUCCCACCUGGACCACCCGACCCAUCCUAAACUCCCCUGGGGGGCCUCCUCCUUCUUCUCCCCGUCACUUGCAAGUCCCUUGCCGUUGCUGCUUUGGGGUCACUAUGCAUGUUACCUCCUCUGCCCAGACCCUCGUCCCUUCCCCUCCUCCAGGCCCACGGUCAGUCAGAACCUUUUGUAUGCAAGUGACAGAAAACCAGCCCAAACUGUUUUCAGGCAAAAAUGGGAAAUGCAGCAGCUCACGAAACUGAAAAGUCCAAGGGUGUGUGACUUCAGGUAUGGCUAGAUCCAGGGGUUCAAGCCCUGUUCAGCCCUGUGCUGAUCUCUGUCAGGCAGGCUUUUCCCUGUGACACCCCCAACGCUCCGGGCUUUCACUGGCUCUCUCAGUCCAACGGAAACGCUGCAUGUCCUUCGCAGAGUUCCCAGGAUCCACUUUCCUUGGGCGGGUUUAGCAUGUGUCCAUCCCCAGGCGAGUCGCUGGGCCAGACUUGGGCAUGUGCCCACCCCUGGAGACAGGGUCCCGGGACACCCCACCCAACCUCAGGGACUGACAUGGGGGAGGAGGAAGUUCUCCGGUAGAAAAUUCAGGUGUAACAGGGCACUGACCUGUCCGUAACUUGCCAUCUUUUCCUGGGAAAGUCUAACUCAUCCCAGCAUGCUGUGUGACCUCAGGCCAACCCCUUCCCCCCUCUGGGCUUCAUGUUCCCCUUCUGGAAAAUGGGCAGGAGGCUGCUUGAAUUCCAACAUUCCAGAACUCUGGGACAGCUUCCAGAACUGGCAACUGCUCCAUAAAUCCCAGGAACGUUCUGGAACUUCUGGGGACGGAAGUGGAGCAUCAGCCAGAGCCCUCCUCAGCCUGCGGCCCGGGAACAUGCUUAGAAGAUGACAAUUGGGCUCCCUUGGGCCGAAAUUCCACUCCCGUGGGGGCCUUGCCAAGGAAAACAAGCCCAAGAAGCAGGCAUUAAAGGUGAGCAUAUUUGACGAGUUUUAAGAUGACAAAUUAUUUACACAGGUGUGAGAACCAUCCCCUCGUGGCGGCUUUCUUCCUUUCUCUUCCUCCCCUUUCCAAAUUCUUUCCCCCAAGGGCGCUGACAGACGUGCCAAGGGAGGGGGCGGCUGGCGGUGAGGACCUGCCCACAGUGAGUCCUUAAAGCCCGGGCCCCAGGGGAGGAGGCGGAGCCGCAGGACAGCGGGUCGCACCAGGGGGCUCUGGUCACCCCUCCUCUACCUGCUUGCUCCCCACCCUGUCGCCUGGGGAGGCACGAGCCUGAGGUCCGGGCAUUUCAAGGCUCCCUGAGUCCUUCAGGAGGAUGGUGCCCAGGCCACCCCCCGGGAAAGCAGUUCCCAGGGUCACACAGCCAGCUCAUGCUCAACUUGGAGCUAACGAGGAGAGAGGUGGGGAAAGCAAUUGUUCUCGAGCACCUACUGUGUGCCUGACACUGAGCGGAGCCCUGGGAAUACACUGUGAAUGGAACAGCCCCAAACCCCUGCCUGGAGCCGACAAGGAAACAGGCCAGGAGGAAACUGAGGCACAGAGAAGGGCAGGGACUUGCCCAGGGUCACACAGCAGAAGCAGAUCCCAGUCUCUUCCAUCUGGCUCCCAAGCCCGUGCUCCUGUGCUUCUGAGAGGUGAGGGGGCAGGAACGAGGGGUGUCCAGGACCUGCCAGCUCCCCCGCCUGCAGCUCUGCCCUCAGGGUGCGGGGCAUCUGGGGGCCGGCCCUCUGCUUCCUGUGGGAAGAAAGCGGAGGCUGAUUUAGCUGCUGAGUCAUGGGGUACGACAGGCUUCCAGGCCACGGAGGGCUCUGCCUCAGUUUACCCACCUUGAAAAUGGGUUUAAUAACACGUCUGCCCGCAGUGCCGACUUCAGAGGGAGCCGGGAAGGUUAAUUACCGCCGGCAGCUCCGGAACCUGAUGAAAGCGGGGAGGUGGGCGUAGUGACCGCGCGGGUCAUGACUCCCAGCGAGCGGAGGCUGGAGAGGGGUCGCACCCGCUUCUGAUGCAACCCCAGGCCCGCUGCUUUCCGGAGGUGGGGGCCCAACAUGCCGUAAACAUCUGCGUUUGACCGCCGUCCCGGCCCCCAGACCCCCGCACCCGGGGCCCUGCGAGCCGCCCGGGCUCCAGUCGCAUCUCUGCCACUCCCCUGCCGGACGCCUGGGCCGCGCUCCUCCCCUCUCGGGCCUCAGUUUCUCCGUCUGCGCAGUGGGGCUGAGAGCCUGGCCCGUCCACAGGGCGGGCUGCGGUCAUUGCUCACACUCACGCAGGCGCUGUGCAGCGCCCCCAUUUCACCUCCUCAGCUGCCUGGUUUGAGGGCAAAAAGGGCACGUCGAGCCACAGCCGCCCACGCCAUCAGCCGCCCCGGCCUCCUUGCCCUGCUGGGAAAUGGGGCAGGACUUUGCUAGAAAUAAAUAAACGGGGUUUAAAACACCCCUGGGGCUAUUGAUUGGCCUCUUGUCAGCCCCCAUUGGCCCCCAGCACCGGGCUCCAACGCCCCUGCCCCUGGAAGCCCCGACCCUCCGCCCCCGGUCCUGGGUCGGGAUCUAGGCCCACCCCCGCCCCCGCGCACGCGCACACCGCGUCCUGGCUCUUGAUCCCGCUGUGCACGCGCAGCUGGUCCCCGGGGAUGCCUGGAUGCUUCUCCUCUUGCAGGGUCGGCUCAGCGCGGGACAGGUUCUGGGGCCGGAGCCCCUCCUCCCCGCUCUGACCCCUCCGCGAGGCAGCCGCGUGCCCGCCUCACAGGUGGGGACACUGAGGCUCUGAGCUGCAGACGCCAGAGCCCGGGGCCUGCAGGAGGCGGAGGCCCACGUGGGGUCUGACCCGGGCCCCUGGGCUCACCGGCGCCUCGGGGCCGGGCCCUCCGCGACGACGCCGGGAGCAGGUGCAGGUCAGGUCCAGGCCGGCUGCUGGCGGGCAGAGCGGGGUGCGGGGCUGGCGCGGGCUGGGGGCUGGUGCCCGCCCUCCGAGCCCCCCGAGCCCCCUGAGCCCCCUGCCCCGCACCCCCGCCGCGCUGGCCGGGCCGACCCCGAACCCGCCCCGGCUCCCCGCGCCCCGCCUCUGCGCCCGUGGUGCCCCACACCCUGCCCGCUGGCGUCGUCUCUUGGUUGAGGUCUCUGUUCUAAUGUCGCCUCCUCAGCGGCCCUCCCAGGCUCCCUCGGUCACACUCUCUGCUGUAUUCCCCUCGGAGCCCCCAUAACUCUGAAACGACCUCACAUUCCCCGCUCCACGGACACGGACCCGAGUCCUGAGAACAGAGGGGUUUCUGUUUUGUUGGCUGUCACAUCUCCAGGACCAGGUAGAGCCCCCGAACACAGUGGUGCUCAAUAAUUGUUUGUUGAUGUAAUAAAAAAGUCUUUAAAAGAUAAGAAUAACUGUAUGCUGAGGGGAGGGGUGGACAUCCCAGGGGACGGAUGUGUCACCGAAGGACUGAAGAACUUCCCCAGGUCUUAGUGUGGUCAGUGGCAUCGACGUGACAAUGGCAAUACUGGUUGCGGGCACUGGCUGUGCUGGGCGCCGUUGGCACACCGGCUCGCUCAGUCCUCGCAGAGGCCCCGUGAGGUCAGUCCCAUGCUGACCCGCAUUCUCCAGAUGAGGAAAGUGUGCUUUAGAGAGGUGAAGGGACUUGCUCCCGGUCAGCAGAGGCCACCAUGCCCUGCCCCCUGACCUCCAGAGCUUCAAGGUCCCCAAAAGAUGACACCGCCCCUGAUUCCCAGUGCAGCCCAGAGAGGUGGUGUGUCCUGCCUGAUGCCCCCAAGCUGGUCAGCCGCCCGGCGUGCGGCUGGCUGGCUCCCUGGCAGUCGCUCAGCGCGUCAGGAGGGCGGGCAGCCUGGCGGUUGGCCUGUCCUGGGACGCGGGCAGCCAGCAGUUUCUCUCCCCGGACUUUACUGUACAUGAUUCAGCGCCAGCCCCAGUUGUGAAAUCUGGGAAUCUUGUGGGCAAGGCCAGGCCCGGGGGAUGGCUGUCUGGGAAAGGGAGGCCGGGAAGGGGUUAAGGGGGGCGGCGGGCCCCCCUGGGGAGGCGCUGGGCCAGGCCAGCCGAGAGCACACCAGUAGCACCGGCCGGCCACCGCCUGCGGCCUGACUCUGACAUCACAGCUGCGUCAGUCCGGCCGGCCCCAGCCCCCCACUUCCUUCCCUCCCGCAGCCCGCGUCCCCAGCCACCUCCCCAGCCUCACUGUCCGCUCCUAAGAAACGGCAGCCUCAGUCUUCCCCGGGAGGGAGGGGUGGACCGGGAGAGGGCGAUGACACACGUUGCUGUGCAUACAGGAGGCGCUUAAGUGAGAGCAGUGAUGGAUUUGAGCCAAACUCCAGUCCUGUGAGCAAGACAGGGCGGUGAGAGGCGGGGGGUUCCAGAAGGGGAGGGACUUGCCCGGGGUCACCUGGCUGCAUGUCACAGUCACUGGGAUGUCACUGAGACCCGCGGCUCGCCCCCCCCCC
rnacentral:lncRNA from 1 species